GAUUAAUUAUUUAUAUGAAUAAAUUAUGUUUUGAAAGCAUAAAUAAAGGGUUAAAUUCCCUUAUUAAUCU
rnacentral:tRNA from 1 species